CCAAAGUAUACAAAUAUUACACACCAAUUGAUUUAAUAGUUAGAGAAUGAUAAAGGAAAAAGAGAGGAAGAAGAAAUUGUGGAUUCAAAUUCUCUCAAUUAACUAACAAAUUAACAUUAUUUGUAAAUUAGUUGAAAAAAAAAAUCAACAUCACCACACCCAAAUAUGUUCCCAAAACUAACCUUUCUGUUUUGCACAUUUGGUAGCCCCUUGUGCAGAACCUCUUUUUCCUUUUCUUGCAAAAUUUUGCAAACUGAAGCUUCAUUUGAUGAUAGAACUGCAAAUACUUUUGACGUGACGUACAACAGUGACCCGUGCUAGUGUAUCAAAUAAUCCCAGCAUAAAUCCCAGAUCAAGGGCAUAUGUACAAGCUUUUAGAGGCUAUGGAAUGAAACUUCAAUCUUUAUAUAUACACUUUGUUUUAUUACUCUUUUCAAAACCAAACAAAAAACUAAAACAAAAACAAAUCAAAAAGGGUUUUGGUAUAGAUGGAUUUCUUAUCUAGUUCGAACAGAUGGCAUCUAAGAUCAUGGUUAUAUUUUAUUAGUGCUGAUCAAGCAUUCCAUGAAAUAUUCAUAAUAUUAAUGUUUUUGGUAUACGGCUGAUCCUACAAGUAACAAAAUCAUUUCCAGAAUAUUUAAUACAGUCUUAUUGUCAAGAUUCAAACUCAAGAUCACUUGUUAAAUCAAAAACAAUUUCAUAGGAGUUGAUAUAUCCAUUUGAUAGUCAUAAAAUACUCAUAUAUAAAGAAAAAGUAUAUAGAUAUAUGGUUAAGACAUUUAUUUUCCUUAUAUAGCUAGAUUCAAACUAAACCGUUAACAGAAACAAAAAAUUAGCAUGAAGAGUGAAGAUCUCUAAAAACAUACAAAUUGAAAAUUCUAAAACUGGAAUCAAUGGACUGUGAAUUGUAUGAUACACUAGAACGGAUCACGGUUGCACAUCACAUGAACUUGAAAAGAAGAGAGGUAGACAAAAGGAGACCCAGAAGCCAAUAACAGAGAAAUUGUGUGUGCAAAAAAAGUAAGGUUAGGUUGAAGAAAAUUUAAGAGAGAAAGAAAGAAGGGUAGGUUGUGAAUGUGUGAAUUGGUGGUGCCAUGAAUGGUUUUUGGGUUGGGAAGAAGCUUAUUAUAACAACAACU
rnacentral:lncRNA from 1 species